CACCUGCAUGCCUAGUAACGGCGAGUGAACAGGCAAGAGCUCAGAUUUGAAAGGCACUUUUGUGCCGUUGUAUUCUGAAGUUAGGGUCCUGAGAAACGAUGCUUAAGUCUUCUGGAAAGGAGCGCCAUGGAGGGUGAUAGCCCCGUCUAGCAUUGACCUCAUAUAGGAUCUUAACAUGGAGUCGAGUUGUUUGGGAAUGCAGCUCAAAUGGGUGGUAUGCUCCAUCUAAAGCUAAAUAUCUGCGAGAGACCGAUAGUAAACAAGUACUGUGAGGGAAAGAUGAAAAGAACUUUGAAAAGAGAGUGAAAAAGUACGUGAAAUUGUUGAAAUGGAAGGGUAGGCCGCUAACCAUGUAGAGCCGUGUUUGGGGGGAAGAUAAAUGCUGUAGAAUGUAGCUCCUCGGAGUAUUAUAGAUGCAGUUCAUAUUCCCACCCGAGCGCGAGGAUCUCAGGUUCUACUAAAUGGUGGUCUACCACCCGUCUUGAAACCACGGACCA
rnacentral:rRNA from 1 species